GCCUGGAUGGCUCAGUUGGUUUAGAGCGUCGGUCUCAUAGUGUAUAUGAGGGACUGUACAGUCCCGUAAUCCGAAGAUCGCGAGUUCGACCCUCGCUCCGGGCA